UAAUACAGAGGGUGCAAGCGUUAAUCGGAUUUACUGGGCGUAAAGCGUGCGUAGGUGGCUAUUUAAGUCGGAUGUGAAAGCCCUGGGCUUAACCUGGGAACUGCAUUCGAUACUGGGUGGCUAGAGAUCGGUAGAGGGCAGCGGAAUUCCGGGUGUAGCGGUGAAAUGCGUAGAUAUCCGGAGGAACACCGAUGGCGAAGGCAACUGCCUGGGCCUGAUCUGACACUGAGGCACGAAAGCGUGGGUAGCAAACAGG
rnacentral:rRNA from 1 species